CACGUAGGGUGCGAGCGUUGUCCGGAAUUAUUGGGCGUAAAGAGCUCGUAGGCGGUCUGUUACGUCCGCUGUGAAAACCCAGGGCUUAACCCUGGGCUUGCAGUGGAUACGGGCAGACUAGAGGCAGGUAGGGGAGAAUGGAAUUCCCGGUGUAGCGGUGAAAUGCGCAGAUAUCAGGAGGAACACCGGUGGCGAAGGCGGCUCUCUGGACGGUGACUGACGCUGAGACGCGAAAGCGUGGGGGAGCAAACAGG
rnacentral:rRNA from 1 species